AGUGAACGCUGGCGGUAGGCCUAACACAUGCAAGUCGAACGGCAGCACAGUAAGAGCUUGCUCUUACGGGUGGCGAGUGGCGGACGGGUAAGGAAUACAUCGGAAUCUACUUUUUCGUGGGGGAUAACGUAGGGAAACUUACGCUAAUACCGCAUACGACCUACGGGUGAAAGCAGGGGAUCUUCGGACCUUGCGCGAUUGAAUGAGCCGAUGUCGGAUUAGCUAGUUGGCGGGGUAAAGGCCCACCAAGGCGACGAUCCGUAGCUGGUCUGAGAGGAUGAUCAGCCACACUGGAACUGAGACACGGUCCAGACUCCUACGGGAGGCAGCAGUGGGGAAUAUUGGACAAUGGGCACAAGCCUGAUCCAGCCAUACCGCGUGGGUGAAGAAGGCCUUCGGGUUGUAAAGCCCUUUUGUUGGGAAAGAAAAGCAGCAGGUUAAUACCCCGCUGUUCUGACGGUACCCAAAGAAUAAGCACCGGCUAACUUCGUG
rnacentral:rRNA from 1 species